GCGAAAUAGCUCAGUUGUGAGAGCGAUAGACCAUAGAUCGAAAGGUCCCUGGUUCGAUCCCGGGAUUCAGCA
rnacentral:tRNA from 1 species